CGGUAGUCUGGCGCUCCGUUUACAACGGAUUUGAACGGGACUUGGCGCUAGAUUCUACCGAAUCUGUGGAUUGAACAUCCCGUGUAGGAACCGCCAGGCAUACAACAAUGCCGAUGACUGGCCUAUUAAUGGCUUGCAAUCAUUGGCCGAUGGUCAAAAUACCAGUAUUGGGCCAUUAAUGGGUGAUGAGUGGCCCAUGGAUCUUGUAUCGAAAUCGCUAGUGAUACACUUGGCCAGUCAUUCAGUUAAUGGUUGGCCGAUCAAUAGGUAACCUUGGUUGGCCGAUGAUCGAAUUACAUCAAUGGGCCAGUAAUAUUCGAUAAUCGGCCCAUGGAUUUCGUAUCAAAGACACUUAUUAGACAAUCGGCUAGUCAUCCAGCCGAUGGUAGACCGAUCAAUCACUAUCGAUGGUUUGCCGGGGAUUAAACAUUUUUUUUUUUAUUAACAAAAAACUAUAGAUUCAUAUACUUGUGGACGUUAGUCGAGACUAUUCGCUCUGAGUGAAGCCAUGGUAGGGGAAAUGAAAUCGACUGAAGCGUUCGCAGUGGUUACUUUCGGAGUUACGGGAGGCUAUUAUUCCUAAAAUUGUAAGUAAGUACACGUGGAAGUAUUUAUUUUGUUUUAAUUUUAAUAAA